AGAGCAAGAAAUCGAAGAUGAAGGUGUAAGAAAACCAAAGCUCGGUGAAUUUUCGGCGGGUUUGGCUUGGAUGUUCUUGGAUGGAUUUGGGGCUGAGGUUUGAAGGAUGUGAAGGGGUUGUUUCUUGAAGAUUUUUAGCAGAAAUGAAGAAGAGGGAGCUUCUCUUUUCGAGAGGGAUUGAAGAGAGAAGAGGAAGGGGCUUUGAGAGGAGCUUCUUGAAGUGGAAGAAGAGAAUUCUUCUUGGGGGCUUUUGAUCGAUGAAGAAGGAAAGAGGAGAGAGC
rnacentral:lncRNA from 1 species